AUGCACGCUGGCGGCGUGCCUAAUACAUGCAAGUCGAGCGAACAGACGAGGAGCUUGCUCCUCUGACGUUAGCGGCGGACGGGUGAGUAACACGUGGAUAACCUACCUAUAAGACUGGGAUAACUUCGGGAAACCGGAGCUAAUACCGGAUAAUAUAUUGAACCGCAUGGUUCAAUAGUGAAAGACGGUUUUGCUGUCACUUAUAGAUGGAUCCGCGCCGCAUUAGCUAGUUGGUAAGGUAACGGCUUACCAAGGCGACGAUGCGUAGCCGACCUGAGAGGGUGAUCGGCCACACUGGAACUGAGACACGGUCCAGACUCCUACGGGAGGCAGCAGUAGGGAAUCUUCCGCAAUGGGCGAAAGCCUGACGGAGCAACGCCGCGUGAGGGAUGAAGGUCUUCGGAUCGUAAAACUCUGUUAUUAGGGAAGAACAAAUGUGUAAGUAACUAUGCACGUCUUGACGGUACCUAAUCAGAAAGCCACGGCUAACUACGUG
rnacentral:rRNA from 1 species